CUUGAAGACCUUUUGGAAGAAAUUCAAAAACUUGAGAUCGUUGAAAAAGAUUCUCCGGGCACUGUUUUGAGCAUUGAUUAGUUUGGAGCUUAAGCCAAGGAAGAUGUACUUUUGAUUAUAUUAUGGUCUAUGGAUUCUCUAAUAUCUAGUUAGUUUAGUUUAAAUAUGUAAUUUUUUUAUUUAUGGACAAAGUUGUUUGUAUUUUGGAACCCCUAUUUGACUUGCUCUUGUAAAUAUAAACUACGUUGCAAGUUUGGUGGACCUAA